GUGCUUGCUUUGGCAGCACAUACACUAAAAUUGGAAUAUGAGAAGAUUAGUAGCAUGGGUCCUGAGCAAGGAUGACAUGCAAAUCUCUGCAAGGUUCCAGAUUGUU
rnacentral:snRNA from 1 species